GAUGAACGCUGGCGGCGUGCCUAAUACAUGCAAGUAGAACGCUGAAGGAGGAGCUUGCUCUUCUGGAUGAGUUGCGAACGGGUGAGUAACGCGUAGGUAACCUGCCUGGUAGCGGGGGAUAACUAUUGGAAACGAUAGCUAAUACCGCAUGACAACAGUUAUUGCAUGAUAACUGUUUAAAAGGGGCAACUGCUCCACUACCAGAUGGACCUGCGUUGUAUUAGCUAGUUGGUGAGGUAACGGCUCACCAAGGCGACGAUACAUAGCCGACCUGAGAGGGUGAUCGGCCACACUGGGACUGAGACACGGCCCAGACUCCUACGGGAGGCAGCAGUAGGGAAUCGUCGGCAAGGGACGGAAGUCUGACCGAGCAACGCCGCGGGAGUGAAGAAGGUUUUCGGAUCGGAAAGCUCUGUUGUAAGAGAAGAACGAGUGUGAGAGUGGAAAGUUCACAGUGUGACGGUAUCUUACCAGAAAGGGACGGCUAACUACGUG
rnacentral:rRNA from 1 species